rnacentral:lncRNA from 1 species
GGAUGAUAUUUAGGCUAAAUGGCAGCCCUUACUAGGAAGGUAGAGCAAAUUGAACUUAGAAGGAUUGAACCCGUCAAGACUGUAGAACAUAACAGCGAGUGUUGUAGGAUUUGUGAGAUGCCUGGCCAUCUCACCACUGAUUGCCCCACAAUACCCGUAUUCAAGGAAGUCUUGCACGAUCAGGCCAAUGUUAUGAAUACAUAUCAAAAUUUUUUUAAUAAUCUUUUUUCGGGUACUUCAACUCUGGAUGGAAGAACCAUCCAAAUUUCAGGUGGAGGAAUGACCAACCUCAACAAGUAUAUAAUCCAACUCCUCCGCCUCUGCAAACUCAUUAUGCACUCACACCCCCUCAAA